CGUCAGAGAGGGUGAGAGCCCCGUGCGCGACACCGCCGGGCCGGGUUGCUACUGUCUUCGGAGAGUCGGGUUGUUUGGGAUUGCAGCCCAAAGUGGGUGGUAAACUCCAUCUAAAGCUAAAUACUGGCACGAGACCGAUAGCGAACAAGUACCGUGAGGGAAAGGUGAAAAGUACUUUGAAAAGAGAGUCAAAAAGACCGCGAAACCGUUAGGAGGGAAACGAAUGCGGCUGAAGUGGUUCCCCGUCAGGCUCAGGAGGCGUCGUCGGGUCUCGCGGGUGGCGGUUGAUUCCGCGUCCGCGAGGCGCCCGUCGACCUCUCUGCACUUCUGCGGGGGGCCGGCCAACGUC
rnacentral:rRNA from 1 species